UUGACCUACGGGGCGCAGCAGUGAGGAAUAUUGGUCAAUGGUCGGGAGACUGAACCAGCCAAGCCGCGUGAGGGAUGAAGGUACAGAGUAUCGUAAACCUCUUUUGUCAGGGAACAAAGGCGGGGACGUGUCCCCGGAUGAGUGUAACUGAAGAAAAAGCAUCGGCUAACUCCGUGCCAGCAGCCGCGGUAAUACGGAGGAUGCGAGCGUUCUCCGGAUUUAUUGGGUUUAAAGGGUGAGCAGGCGGUCUGUUAAGUCAGAGGGCAAAACCCGGGGCGCAACCCCGGGCCGUCGUUG
rnacentral:rRNA from 1 species